CGCGGCACCCUCCUAAGGUCACACGGCAGGUUUUGGAUCGGAGGCGGGGACGGUCCCAAUAAGAGUCCACAGCCCGCGCCGGAAUUUCUGCUGGGAAUUUCUCACUGGCCAGAAAGCCCCUUUGAUCUCUGACUGAGGAGACCCGGAGCCCCUUCCCAGGUGUAGGACACUUUCUCUGCCAGGGUUGUCUCAGCCCGACUACAGGAUGGGAACAAACUGCAGAGCCUGGGGCCCGGCCACGCUUCACAUCUGAGAUCUGUAAGACCGACGGUGCCUGGGAUCUUAGCGAUCCCUUUCUGCUCUCCUUUCGCCCACCCCCCUUCCUGCUCUCAAAAUGUACCUUGGUCCUUGUGCCGUUAGCUACGAGUUGCCAAGCGACUAAGUUGGCAAAAGGCCACUUGAAAUCGCUAAGAUAUCCUGUUACCUGAAAGGUUCCCUCCCCCAGGAGUCAAGGAUCAUAGCCAUGUCCAAGGCUUCUGCCACACGUUCAUCCUGUUGGCAUUGUUCCUGACCCAGAAAAACUAAGCAAAAGCUGUGUGCAGAGACCCAAGCCCCAGCCCCUGCUAGCCGGGAAAAGGUGAUCCCACAAGACAUUCCUUCAGUCAUCAGCAGCCCCAGCCCUGUCUCCCUCCAAAUGUCCAGGAGCCCGUCAGGAUUCCAGUCGAGGCGAGGGGGCCGGCUGGAGGUAGCUGUCCGACAUGAUGAUGUCGCUGGUGAGUUGUUGCUCCAGGAACUCCGAGGUCUCCUCAGCUAUCUGGCCUGGAAUUCGAAAGUCCACAGCUGGUCGCUCCUGCUUGGGGCUGGGUAUGGGCCGGGAAACCCAGGACUCGGCGGGACAGCCAGUACCCUGAAGGAACUGCAGGAAGUUUUCCUCAAUGGAGCCCUCGCGGCUGGGUAGCCGCAGCUCCUCCUCCGGAGCCGACUUGAAGAAGCAGACAAACUGCUUGCUGAGCUCCCCCCGGAUUUGCCGGUUGAGACAUCCAUAAAAGAAGGGGUUGGAAGUGAAGCAGAAGUAGCCGAUCCACGUCACCACAUUCUCCACCUGCCCAGUCGAAAUGGGCUGAGCACUCAGGGCCACGUAGAGGUGGAAGGAAAAGUAGGGCAACCAACAGAGCAGGAACUGGCCCCCCACAGCCAGGAGGACCACUGCAGCCUUCCCUCCCCCGAACGUCCGGUGCGGGGUGGUCUGGGGGGCCCCUGAGCUGGUGACCAUAGUGGAGCGGCUGCUGAGAGACUCGGAGCGUUGCCGGGGCGUCUCCAUCCACGUGGGCAGCGGUCCGUGCUGCAUGGCAGCCACUCGGGCUACUCGGAACAUGCUGCAGUAAACCACAAGGAUGAGGAGCAGAGGCAGCAGGAAGUAAAGGACAGCAAAGACUACCACGAAAAGCUGGCAGUAGGCACUGCGGCUCCAUUGGAGUGAGCAGCCUGGGGGGAUGCUGGGAGCUCCCUCGUCCCGGGAGACCCUUCCCAAAACUGGCACAGAAGCCAUGGCCAAGGCUUUCACCCACACCCCCACCAGCACAGAGGCCACCAGCCCCAGCGUCAUGCGCACCUCAUAGCGCAUGGGGUGGACGACGUAAUAGUAGCGCUCCACGUUGAUCGCCGACACCGAGAGGAUGGCCAGGCUAACGAAGCACACACUCAAGAACAAGUAGAGGCGGCAGGCGACCUCCCCGAAGAGGUCAUGGUCAAAGAGGGCAGAGCUGGAGAGCAUGGCCAGGGGCAUGAGGGUCAGGGCGGCCAACAGGUCCACCAGGCACAGGUGGAAGACGAAGACGAAUUUGCGAAGGGCCGGUGUCUUGGCAAUGACGGCCAUCACGGCGGCGUUGCCAGCCACAGCGAUCAAGUCCAGCAGGAGCAUGAAGAACAGGGCCACGGAUUCUGAGGCCACGUCCCGCAGCCCCACCUCUGGGACCCCACUGGCAGUAGAGGGACCUGGCGUUUGAGGGACCCUCCCCAGAGUGGAAGAGUUCCCUGAUGACUGGGGGAUGGGAGAGGACUCCAUGGGGCCGGAAGAGGACACCCAGGGCACCUCCUGUCACAGGCCCAUCCCCCAUCCUAGUCCAGUGACCCUGGGAUGGCCAGCCCAGGCCCAGACUUCCCAAUUUAGUGUGUGGGGAUGGAGAGGGAGGGCACCUCCUGCUGGGGCCUCCUGGGCAGGCUCUUAUCGCCAGCCUCCCAGGCCAGACUGUGCAUAGGGAACUGAGGGCUCAGAAGCUGGGUCUCUCCUUUCUGGCAGGUGGUGGCUCUGGUCCACCUUGGCGAACUCGAAGAAGCAGGGGACGUGAGAGAUGCCAGAGCCUCACUCACUCAACACUCCACCUUCUGAGUGGUCUCAGGCUCCUUUUUUCUUUUCCUUUCCUCUGUUCUCCAUACCCUUCUCCCCUCUCAGGCACUAUCAUCCAGAGAGUCUAAAUCCUCUGUCUCCCUCUCCCAGGGUCCCACUGAGCUCCAGGGUCAGGCCCCAGCUUUAAAGUUGCUUAUGUAAAUUUCCUGAUGUCUUGUCUCUCCAAAUGGCAGGAGCUGCUGGGGAGUAGAAGGGACACAGGAUCUGGUUUCCAGUCCCAGGUCUGGGAAUCACUAAUUCUGGGACUCUUGUGAACUUCCGUUUCCUGACAAACACAUCUGUAAAAUGAAGGGAAUAAUAUCUACUUCACAACUGUUUGGAGGAUCCUGUGAGACUUCUUAACAAUACUACCAAUAAAGCAUAACCUUUAUAUAGUGCUUUCCACAUGCCAAACCCUGUUCUAAGCAUUGUAUGUAAAUAAACUCAUUUUAAUCCUCACACAA